rnacentral:rRNA from 1 species
AACGAACGCUGGCGGCAUGCCUAACACAUGCAAGUCGAACGAGACCUUCGGGUCUAGGGGCGCACGGGUGCGUAACGCGUGGGAACCUGCCCUUAGGUUCGGAAUAACUCCCCGAAAGGGGUGCUAAUACCGGAUAAUGUCUUCGGACCAAAGAUUUAUCGCCUUUGGAUGGGCCCGCGUUGGAUUAGCUAGUUGGUAGGGUAAAAGCCUACCAAGGCGACGAUCCAUAGCUGGUCUGAGAGGAUGAUCAGCCACACUGGGACUGAGACCCGGCCCAGACUCCUACGGGAGGCAGCAGUGGGGAAUAUUGGACAAUGGGCGAAAGCCUGAUCCAGCAAUGCCGCGUGAGUGAUGAAGGCCUUAGGGUUGUAAAGCUCUUUUACCCGGGAUGAUAAUGACAGUACCGGGAGAAUAAGCUCCGGCUAACUCCGUG